rnacentral:lncRNA from 1 species
GGUAGGAGAGAGAUCGAUCGACCAACUCUGCUGUAACAAUAAACUGCUUCAACUUGACAACUUCGAAGACCUCAGCCUCUUUUUUGAAACUUAGAAGAUGUUUGACGAGAUCCAGCGCAACUUUCCACAACACAUCCUACUGUUAAAUCAAAUUAAUGGUCAUGGGCGCACCACGUCUAAUCCUCUUUGCCAUUAAAAAGCAUGAGGAAGCAUCUGCAGAUAAACAAAGAUCCAUCCUGGCACAGGUUACUGCAUUUUUUUUGUACAUACAGGUGAACUACCUGGUGAAACUAUCCUUGAAGAGUGACCAUGAAUACAGUUGCAUCAGAAUGACAUAUUUUGUGCCUAGUUUAAAACAGAAAACUAACAAGAAAUCUAAGCUUUGUAACAUCCUUGGUAACAUGAACUUGGUCUCACACAACUAUCAACCAUUUUCUAUAUAUUUUUAUUAUUGCCUAUAAUUAUUAUAUCAUACAUUAAACUCAAGCUAAAAGUUUGAGAAUUACAGAAGGUGAAAGAUAGGUGAGACACUAAAAGGUGUCUAAUGAGGAAUCUAUUUUUAGUGAUUUUAAAGUUAGGCCCACUUAAUUUUAAACAUGGUAAGCACACUGUAAAAAAUUGCUGUUAAAAAACGGUCAGAUUCUACGG